rnacentral:rRNA from 1 species
UGGGGAAUCUUGGACAAUGGGGGCAACCCUGAUCCAGCCAUGCCGCGUGGGUGAAGAAGGCCUUAGGGUUGUAAAGCCCUUUCAGUCGUGACGAUGAUGACGGUAGCGACAGAAGAAGCCCCGGCUAACUCCGUGCCAGCAGCCGCGGUAAUACGGAGGGGGCAAGCGUUGUUCGGAUUUAUUGGGUUUAAAGGGUGCGUAGGUGGUUUAUUAAGUCAGUGGUGAAAGGCUACAGCUCAACUGUAGGAGAGCCAUUGAUACUGGUAGACUUGAGUUUGGUCGAGGUAGGCGGAAUUUAUGGUGUAGCGGUGAAAUGCAUAGAUACCAUAAAGAACACCGAUAGUGAAGACAGCUUACUAGGCCUGAACUGACACUGAGGCACGAAAGCGUGGGGAGCGAACAGGAUUAGAUACCCGUGUAGUCC